AAAAAGGCCCUAUUUUCCUCUGCCACUCUCAAUCCUCGCAGCUUUCUUGAUCCACCCGAGGACGGCUGGAAGUAAAAGGAAAGAGAAAGACAGACCCGAGGACGACUGAAAAGAAAGGAAGGAAAAGGGUGACAGAAAAAGCUGGCUGGAACAAGGAGAAGAGAGGGAAAAAAAGGGGUUUUUUGGCGCUUCUCUGGAUUUUCUCUAAAAAAAGAUCAAAAAGCAGGAGUUUGGAGGGGUUGAGUAAGAGAUCUGGAGGAGUCUUUGGGACUUCAAAGACGGGUCAUAGCCAGAGAAAAAAGGGGAAAAGGGUUGUGAGGAGGGGGGAUGGUUUCCGGAAGAGAAAAAAAAACAGAGAGGAAAAGAGCGAGUAGAAGGCAAGUUGUAUGAUCUUCGCUUGAGGAUUCAGGUAUGGCGAUUAUGAGCACUUUCACUCCGUAUUUUCUUUAUUUUCCUCUUUUGACAUCAUCGUGCUUAGGCAUGGUUUAAUGGGUUUGUUAAGAUAUGUGCUUCGUUUUGCCUUUUCUCUGGUUUUCUCUGUUUUCUCCCUCAAAUGACUGAGGUAUGCUUUUGCUUUCUUCGAGUUUGAUGUUUGAUUAAAUACCUAAAAGCUUAAUGCUCAUUCCACCAGCUGCCAUUUUGUUCAUCACUCA